UUUGCCAUCUGGAGCCUGGACGGUUGAAAUGGAGACCUGAUGCUCUGGAGUGGGUCGCCUGGAAAUCCUGCAGGGACUCCCCUUAAAACGCAGGCCCCCUAAGCCUGGGUGAUUAGGAGGUGAAAGAUGACAUACAACAGUGACAGACUGUCUGUCAACCUGACAGGGCCGAGGAGAGACACAGCUCCGUAUUUUAUUUUGCCGUCCAGUCGAUCAGUAGGUCUGUCAUAGAAACCAGGCCUGACAGCUUGCUAGGCAACUCAGCUCUCUUUUCUUAACUCCCGCAGCCCAGCUCCACCAUCUAUUAAAACAUCCCGGGCUGUCAGGGAUAUUAAAAGGCUCUGUCACUCCUUCUUAAAACAGUCAUAAAUACAAUCUGGACACGAGCAUUUGGGCAGGAGCCCCAGUGCUGGAUGGGAAGAGACAACAGCAGACUGCAGCGCUGAAUGAGGGACACAGCUGACCCAGGAGGGAGUAAUUGGCCCCUUAUAAAACAAAGCCAAGUGCGAGAUGGGAGUUAGGAAAGGCCGAAGAAGGCCUGGCAGACACUGCUGCCCGUCCUCCUCACCUACCCGACUUACUGCCGGGACCAUCUCAAGAGGGCAUAAGAAAACUCAGUCCCCAGAAGGCCGGAAGCUCACCUGAGGUCACACAGCUGAAUGCCGGAUUCCUGACUUUGCCAGAUGUCCCUUAGGAGAGAAUGUUCCAGAAGCCCUUCAGUCUUCUGAAGAAAGGCUUGGACUCUCUGGGGCAGUGGUGCUAGUUCCUAACCCACUGAGAACAAGAAGCAGUUCCAGAUGGAGACAUGAGUUCUAAUCACCCCAUCAGGAAACUCCUGUCUCCACACACCCCCUCCACGUGUCCCCAACAUACCUGCUCCAGGAACUGUGUCAGUCACCAACACGAAGCUGUUGCCUGAAAGUCUCCAUGAUUUUCAGAGUUUUCUUUCUACCACAAGUUUUCACGGAUAAGAACUCACCACAGCCAUGAAAAUCAGAUACUUUUUUUUUUUUUA